AGGCUGUGAGGGAUGGUCCACCCAAGAGAAGCCUCAACAGUUUCCCCAAAUAAUUUCUGCAGGCUGGGACACCUGAGUGAAAUGAAGAAAUGGGAUUCAGCAGAGAGAAAUGUUAAGUCUGCCAGCUGGCCCUGAGAAGCAGGCAUGACAAGGGAGGAUACCUGUGUCACAGAUGAGGAAAACAGAGGCCUGGGGAAGAAGCUUGCCUGAUGCCACUCAGAAGGUAGACGCAAAGCCGGGAAAGGCGCUGGGUCCCUAGACUGCCCCUCUGGAACUCCACCAUGCAGCCGCCUGGCUGUCCUGCCUGGGAUGCCAUCUCCAGGCUAGCCUGGCACUCAUGCCCAUGCCCUGCUGAGCACUGGCACCCCGCAGAGCUUAAUGCCCUGCUGAGCCUGCCCUGCAGCCCUUGCCAAGUCUGUUGGAGUGGCUUCAGUCAUUGGCAAGUCACAUUGCUGACAUCACAACUGCAUAAAAUUAAUUUAUUUAGUUAA